rnacentral:lncRNA from 10 species
GGCAAUAAUUACAUGAGCUGGCUCAGUUAUGUGGAAACUGAUCUCAUCUCAUUUGAAAAGGCAAGAAAAGGUGACGGUUGUACACCAAGUAAAGCAACUCAGAGGAAGGGAGGGAUGCAGAUUGGGGCCCGCAGCACAGGAGAGAGGCGCAAGGCCGACCUCACCUGCGCUCUCCAGAGCCACCCCCUCCUCCUCCUCUCUCAUGUCUCCGGCCAUCAAUCAAGUCACACAGAGAUGGACAGAGCAGUCCUUUUGUAGCCGAGCCGAGAGCCAUGCUUCUCCUAAACUGUUGGUUCCCAGAUUCUUAAAAGAUUUUGUCUUUUGCAGGCACACUAAGCAUCAUGAAUAUAAUCACCGCCAAGACACAGUUCCUACAUCAUGGACUUUCUAUGAGUGUAGGGCCUACAAACAACGGCCUUAGGACAAUUCUAGCCUGCUGCCUGUUUUUGUGUGACUGUGAUCAAAGAAUGAGUUAAAAAAAUCAAAAGAGGGAUGCUAUUUUAAUGGCAUAAACAUUAUAUAAAAUUCAAAUUUCUGUGUGUAGAAAUAAAGUUUUGUUGAAAAAUAGCCUCAUUUGGUUUACAUAUUGCCCAUGGAACUUUCUGCUAUAAUGGCAAGGUUGAGUACUUUCAACAGAGACUUUAUGGUCCACAAAGCCAAAAAUAUUUACUAUCUAGCACUUUGCAGAAGAAGGGUGGUGACCCCCUGGAAAGGUUGAAGAGAUAGUUAUGUAAGUGAUAAGUACAGUUGAUAACUCUCCACUGUUACUGCAGCAAAGACCAACUAGUAAGAAUUCUACAAAAUUUUACUUUAGCCUCACAAAACUAAAAGAUUAUGGCAUGCCUGUAUAUUUUCAGAAAAUGCCUGACUUUUACUAAUUCAAACAGAUGGUUUUCACUAUUCCUAAAUAGCAAGGAGCCAUCACUCAAAUCACAUGAUUGACUAUAGAUCCAUCUCUAUUAAGUCAUCUUUGAGGUGACCCAACAGUGUUCUUUAUGUUACCCAGUGGUUUGAUGAUUGACCAGAAAAUAUGCAACUGGAAUCAACAAAUAGAUAUAUUAAAACUAAACUAAAUAUCAUCAUGGCUACAUAGCGUUGCAUACAAUUGACUGUAACAACAUAGAUAUUAAAUGAUAAAAACAUAUAGAGUUCAUUAAGAAGAAUAAAUUAUUGAUUAUAGGGCCAGGCGUGGUGGCUCACACCUG